rnacentral:rRNA from 1 species
UUCCGGUUGAUCCCUGCCGGAGGCCACUGCUAUCGGGGUCCGACUAAGCCAUGCGAGUCAUGGGGCUCCUUCGGGAGCACCGGCGCACGGCUCAGUAACACGUGGCUAACCUACCCUCGGGUGGGGGAUAACCUCGGGAAACUGAGGCUAAUCUCCCAUAGGGGAGGAGGUCUGGAAUGAUCCCUCCCCGAAAGGCUUCGGCCGCCCGAGGAUGGGGCUGCGGCGGAUUAGGUAGUUGGUGGGGUAACGGCCCACCAAGCCUACGAUCCGUACGGGCCCUGAGAGGGGGAGCCCGGAGAUGGACACUGAGACACGGGUCCAGGCCCUACGGGGCGCAGCAGGCGCGAAACCUCCGCAAUGCGCGAAAGCGCGACGGGGGGACCCCGAGUGCCCACGCUCCGCGUGGGCUUUUCCGGAGUGUAAACAGCUCCGGGAAUAAGGGCUGGGCAAGUCCGGUGCCAGCAGCCGCGGUAAUACCGGCGGCCCAAGUGGUGGCCACUGUUAUUGGGCCUAAAGCGUCCGUAGCCGGCCCGGUAAGUCUCUGCUUAAAUCCUGCGGCUUAACCGCAGGACCGGCAGAGAUACUGCCGGGCUUGGGACCGGGAGAGGCCGGGGGUACCCCAGGGGUAGCGGUGAAAUGCGUUGAUCCCUGGGGGACCACCUGUGGCGAAGGCGCCCGGCUGGAACGGGUCCGACGGUGAGGGACGAAGGCCGGGGGAGCAAACCGGAUUAGAUACCCGGGUAGUCCCGGCUGUAAACUCUGCGGACUAGGUGUCGCGUCGGCUUCGGGCCGACGCGGUGCCGAAGGGAAGCCGUUAAGUCCGCCGCCUGGGGAGUACGGUCGCAAGACUGAAACUUAAAGGAAUUGGCGGGGGAGCACUACAACGGGUGGAGCCUGCGGUUUAAUUGGAUUCAACGCCGGGCAUCUCACCAGGGGCGACGGCAGGAUGAAGGCCAGGUUGACGACCUUGCCAGACGCGCCGAGAGGUGGUGCAUGGCCGUCGUCAGCUCGUACCGUGAGGCGUCCUGUUAAGUCAGGUA